rnacentral:misc_RNA from 1 species
GUGAGUCAUCGAAUCUUUGAACGCACCUUGCGCCCUGUGGUAUUCCGCAGGGCAUGCCCGUUUGAGUAUCAUUAAAUUCUCAACUUCAAAACCUUUGUGUUUUUGAAGCUUGGUCUUGAGGGUCUUGCAGGCUUUUUUUAAAGUCAGCUCCCUUUAAAUUCAUUAGCGAGACUUCCCUUUGUUUGAACUAUCUCAUUGGCAUGAUAAUUAUCUGUGUCGACGUUGGUUCUCGUUGGGCUUGCUUCUAAUCGUCUUUACAGACAACAGGAUUUUGGGUGCAUAUAUGCACACAUUUUCCAA